GACGUAGGGCGCGAGCGUUGUCCGGAUUUAUUGGGCGUAAAGAGCUCGUAGGCGGCUUGUUGCGUCGACUGUGAAAACCCGCGGCUUAACUGCGGGCUUGCAGUUGAUACGGGCAGGCUAGAGUUCGGUAGGGGAGACUGGAAUUCCUGGUGUAGCGGUGAAAUGCGCAGAUAUCAGGAGGAACACCGGUGGCGAAGGCGGCAUCCUGGACCGGCAUUGACGCUGAGGAGCGAAAGCUAGGGGAGCAAACGGG
rnacentral:rRNA from 1 species